rnacentral:miRNA from 1 species
GGGAGGGUCCAGAAGGUGGAG